AGUGGGGAAUUUUGCGCAAUGGGGGAAACCCUGACGCAGCAACGCCGCGUGAGUGACGAAGGCCUUCGGGUCGUAAAACUCUGUCAUUGGGGACGAAGACCUAGCCAAGAAACGGGCUAGGAUGACGGUACCCGAUGAGGAAGCCCCGGCUAACUACGUGCCAGCAGCCGCGGUAACACGUAGGGGGCGAGCGUUGUCCGGAAUUAUUGGGCGUAAAGGGCGUGUAGGCGGCUGACUAAGUCAGCGGUGAAAAUCCGGGGCUCAACCCUGGAACUGCCGCUGAAACUGGUCAACUUGAGGGCAGGAGAGGUAAGCGGAAUUCCUAGUGUAGCGGUGAAAUGCGUAGAUAUUAGGAAGAACACCAGUGGCGAAGGCGGCUUACUGGCCUGACCCUGACGCUGAGGCGCGAAAGCGUGGGGAGCGAACAGGAUUAGAUACCCUGGUAGUCCACGCCGUAAACGAUGGGUACUAGGUGUUGGGGGUUUAGAUACCCUCAGUGCCGGAGCAAACGCAAUAAGUACCCCGCCUGGGGAGUACGGUCGCAAGGCUG
rnacentral:rRNA from 1 species